rnacentral:rRNA from 1 species
CCCUUAGAUGUUCUGGGCCGCACGCGCGUUACACUGAUGAAGCCAGCGAGUAUAUCGCCUUCACCGGAAGGUGCGGGUAAUCUUGUGAAACUUCAUCGUGCUGGGGAUAGACCAUUGCAAUUAUUGGUCUUGAACGAGGAAUUCCUAGUAAGCAUGAGUCAUCAACUCGUGCUGAUUACGUCCCUGCCCUUUGUACACACCGCCCGUCGCUACUACCGAUUGAAUGGUUUAGUGAGAUCUCGGGAUUGGAGACGUUGCGCCGCAAGGCACAUCGUCCUCGAGAACUUGAUCAAACUUGAUCAUUUAGAGGAAGUAAAAGUCGUAACA